GUGUUGUGGCACUGGGGGGGUGCUGUGGGGCUGAUGCGUGUUUUGGGGCUGGGGUACAGUGCAGGGUUGUGGGAUGCUGCAAGGCUGUGCUGUGGGGCCAGGCUGCCCCACACCUCCAGGGAUCCCCAUAGGGCUGUGGUGCCCCACAGAGCCACUCCUGACCCCGAAGUCCAUGUCGUCGUGUCCCCCCCCCACCCCUUUACCUUGGCAGAGGGUCUCCUGGGUGCACCAGGGCGCCGUGGGCCGGGGGGUCCCACUGUGGGUUGUGGGGUCCCAGCAUGUGCUGGGGGGUGCCGCUGUGGGUCAGUGGUCCUGCCGUGGGUCAGGGGUCCUGCUGUGGGUUGGGGCAUCCCACCUUGGGUCAGCAGCCAUGCCGUGGGUUGGGGGUCCGCCUGUGUAUCAGCGGUCCCACUGUGGGUUGUGCCGUGGGUCGGGGGUCCCAGAGCGGGUCAGGGGUCCCACCACGGGCCGGGGUGGCCCUGCCGCGGGUCGGGGCAUGGGUCGGGGGUCUCAGCGCGGGUCGGGGUGGCCCUGCCGCGGGUCGGGGGUCUCAGCGCGGGUCGGGGUGGCCCUGCUGCGGGUCGGGGGUCCCAGCACGGGUUGGGGGUCCCAGCGCGGGUCAGGGGUCCCAGCGCGGGUCGGGGUGGCCCUGCCGCGGGUUGGGGUCCCAGCGCGGGUCGGGGGUCCCAGCGCGGG